GAGUUUGAUCUUGGCUCAGGACGAACGCUGGCGGCGCGCUUAACACAUGCAAGUCGAGCGAGAACCAGGCCUUCGGGCCUGGGGACAGCGGCGAACGGGUGAGUAACACGUGGGUAAUCAACCCUCGAUACUGGGAUAGCCCGGGGAAACCCGGAUUAAUACCGGAUGGCCCUUUGGAUCCUUGGAUCUGACGGAAAAGGUAGCUUCGGCCUCCGAUCGAGGACGAGCCCGCGGCGGAUUAGCUUGUUGGUGAGGUAACGGCUCACCAAGGCGACGAUCCGUAGCUGGUCUGAGAGGACGAUCAGCCACACUGGGACUGAGACACGGCCCAGACUCCUACGGGAGGCAGCAGUGGGGAAUCUUGCGCUAAUGCGGGAAACCGUGACGCAGCGACGCCGCGUGAGGGAAGAAGGCCUCGGGUUGUAACCGUACUUUCUAGGA
rnacentral:rRNA from 1 species